UACGUAGGGUGCGAGCGUUAAUCGGAAUUACUGGGCGUAAAGCGUGCGCAGGCGGUUCGUUAAGUCAGAUGUGAAAGCCCCGGGCUCAACCUGGGAACUACAUUUGAAACUGGCGGGCUUGAGUGUGGCAGAGGGGGGUGGAAUUCCGCGUGUAGCAGUGAAAUGCGUAGAGAUGCGGAGGAACACCGAUGGCGAAGGCAGCCCCCUGGGCCAACACUGACGCUCAGGCACGAAAGCGUGGGGAGCAAACAGG
rnacentral:rRNA from 1 species